GAUGAACGCUGGCGGCGUGCCUAAUACAUGCAAGUAGAACGCACAGUUUAUACCGUAGCUUGCUACACCAUAGACUGUGAGUUGCGAACGGGUGAGUAACGCGCAGGUAACCUGCCUGGUAGCGGGUGAUAACUAUUGGAAACGAUAGCUAAUAUCGCAUAAUAUUAAUUAUUGCAUGAUAAUUAAUUGAAAUGUUCAAUUGCACCACUACCAGAUGGACCUGCGUUGUAUUAGCUAGUAGGUGAGGUAACGGCUCAACUAAGCGAAGAUCCAUAUCCGACCUGGGAGGGUGGUCGGCCACACUGGGACUGAGGCACGGCCCAAGAUCCUACGGGAAGCAGCAGUAGGGGAUCUUCGGCAAUGGGCGAAAGUCUGACCGGACAACGCCGCGUGAGUGAAGGAAGUUUUCGGGUCGUAAAGCUCUGUUGUAAGGGGAGAACGGAUGUGGGAGUGGAAAGUUCACGCUGUGACGGUAUCUUACCAGAAAGCGACGGCUAACUACGUG
rnacentral:rRNA from 1 species